UACGGGAGGCAGCAGUGAGGAAUAUUGGUCAAUGGGCGGAAGCCUGAACCAGCCAUACCGCGUGCAGGAAGGCGGCCUUAUGGGUUGUAAACUGCUUUUAUAUUGGGAUAAAGGGCUUGUCGAGGACAAGCAAUUGAAGGUACAGUAUGAAUAAGUAUCGGCUAACUCCGUGCCAGCAGCCGCGGUAAU
rnacentral:rRNA from 1 species